GAUCCCCAGGAACCAGGGGAGACCAGACCCCUGUCCCUCCUCUAAGCUUUGGAGUUACUAUUAAGCAAAAACAAACAGCUUAAAACUGCCAGGCAUUCAAGAGCAGUCCCUAAAGCCAAGACAGUAGUGAUGAUUGCCGUGGCCAGUUCCAGCUUUUGACGAAGUCACGUGUCAUCCUGCCAACAGCCAGAGAGGCAAACAGGCCAGCAUACUCCCACCCCUACUUCCCCCAGUUCCUGGUCCCAGAUGCCCUCAGAACCCUUGAAGGCAGGAGCCAUUUGAAAUUUAAGAUGUACUAAGCUGCCAA